rnacentral:piRNA from 1 species
UGAAGGUUGCCCCUGGUUGCAUCCCAGAAGC